AGAGUUUGAUCCUGGCUCAGAACGAACGCUGGCGGCAUGCCUAACACAUGCAAGUCGGACGCUUUCGGGGGUUUCGGCCUCCGAGGGAGUGGCGGACGGGUGAGUAGCGCGUGGGAACCUGCCCUGUUGUGGGGGAUAACCGAGGGAAACUUCGGCUAAUACCGCAUGCGCCCGGGGGCAACUCCGGGGAAAGAUUUAUCGCAGCAGGAGGGGCCCGCGUCGGAUUAGGUAGUUGGUGGGGUAACGGCCUACCAAGCCGGUGAUCCGUAGCUGGUCUGAGAGGAUGAUCAGCCACACUGGGACUGAGACACGGCCCAGACUCCUACGGGAGGCAGCAGUGGGGAAUAUUGGACAAUGGGCGCAAGCCUGAUCCAGCAAUGCCGCGUGAGUGAUGAAGGCCUUAGGGUUGUAAAGCUCUUUCGGCGGGGACGAUGAUGACGUACCCGCAGAAGA
rnacentral:rRNA from 1 species